rnacentral:lncRNA from 1 species
CUUAUGUUUAUUACUAAGUCGAGUAAUCUACCUCUCUUGAACAGAGAUAGUACGUAGCACAUCAAAGAAAGAAUAUUAACAACACUAAUUCUGUGUUAAUUUUGUUGUAUCCUUUUAUCACUCCUGCAACUUCAAUUUUCUGUCAAAGAUUUUCCUGCGUGAUAACAAAAUCGAAUUAAAAGGUAAAAUGAGCAGACUUCAUUUUUGUCAGAUGCUAAAGCAGUAUUUCUCAACCAUUUUUGUUCCACCUCACCACUUCAAAUUUCCAGAAAAACAUGUGCGUUACACAUACACACACACACCUUUAUUUAUUUAUUCAUUCAUUCAUUCCAAAGCAGUUUUAAUCAAAACUGUAUUGCAAGUCUUGUUCACUUGUUACAUAUUUACACCCCAUCUUGAAAAACACUGCUUUAACGAUUCUGCCAAUCUAGCAACCUAAAACACUACUGCUAAUAGAAAUUCUGCCCCACUUUAACAAUGUUAUUCGCUGUUUACAACAGUGAGUUUUGGGAUCUUUUCGGUUUGAACGGCAGUUUUUUUCUAGCGGUGUCAUAUGAAAUUGUCACCCAUAAUUAUGACCCUAGUAUCGAUCUAUUGCAUUUCAAUCUGUUUUAGGGUUAGGGGUGGGGGGAAGGUUAUCUUUUUUUCUUCAGAAAUGUAAAUAAACCUAAUCUGUUUCUUAAACGAGGGACAUUUUCAUACGGCACAGAAUGUUUUCACCUCAAUAGACGUCAUUGAUUGGUUGAAAUUGCAGAAUUUGAAGAAAAGAAACUACAAAUAUCUUACAAACUAUAGAAUUUUCUCAAUAAAGCCAAGAGAAAAAGAUGUUUUAUAAACACAUUCUACCAAUAUACAAAGUUUAAAAGUGUUUAGUUACGUAGAAAUUAUUUUAAAAAACUGCUGUUCAAACCGAAAAGAUCCAAGUUUUGUCCUAUUCUGCAGUAACUCUUCACAGAUUGUUGUGAACCAUCAGAAAAUUAAAUAAUCAUGGCCACUGAAUUGGCAAACCAUGUCAGUGACGGGAUACAAACCACCAUCCACUCAGAUGGUCAUCUACUAUCCUAUACGCUUAUCUAUGCCUUCAUUCAACACAUAUAUCAAAUAUUCAACAAAAAUUGUUUGGAUGAAUCCUUAAUUGGAGUAGCAUAAUGUUGCCUUUCACUGUUGAGUCGUUUUAAUAAGAUAUACUAAAGAUCUCCAUAUGAAAAUCAAAUACAAUUUUUCUCUCUUGUCAAUCUCCCACCACUUUAAUAUUCAAAAAUUUGGUGAAUGCAAUUGAAACAAUAUCAAAUUAAAUUAGAAUAGUCAUCUUUGUAUCAUACUAAAUGUAAACACAGCAGAAAGGCAUGCUACUAAGGUAGCAUGAGAAAAUCUCUUCAUAGACAUGUUGUGUUAAAAACACUAUGUCAAAAUAAAAAAAAUGUUGUAGCAGUGACUCAUGGGAACAUUAAGCACAUUUGACUCUUCUUGGAGCUUCUCAGUAACAUGCACCCAUUUUUCACAUGAUUGAAUGAAAUUUGUACCAAGAAAGUGAAUAAUCCAUUGCAGAAUGCUUACCAGGCUGUAAACAAAUCAGUGAACACAAAACAGUAUUAAAUGAAAAUUGUCAUCUUUGUAUCAUAUUAAAUGUAUAUACACCAUAGACAGGCAUAUUGUGGUUUUGUCUGACAGAGAAAUUUCCAUAGAUGUUUUAAAACACAAUAAAUCUAUAAUAUAAAUUGGACAUGGGCGAUCGUUGUAUUCUUUCUUGUCUUGAGGUUCACAGCCAAACGGCUGGGAGAAUUCGCGUGAAAAAUGGCACACAUGUGCAGACGGGUGCAUAGACUGGAAUGUGGUUUGUAUUUUUUCCUAGCCCCCAUACUUACCGAGAAAAUCGAUUAAAACUUUUCUAAAUGAAUUCCCCUCUUGGUUCCGCCAUUAAAACAACCAGUUGCUCACACAGCCGGCAUAUACCAUUUCGCAAGCAACAAGGGGAGUACAGGAUGACAAUCAGCCAAAACUUUCGCUAUGCUGUCUCUCUUCUUUCGCCUCUUUGUGGGGUUAAUAAUCUUAAUCUUUAGUUACAGUUUCUCAUUCAAACUACAGAAUAGGCAGAAUUGCCGGGUUAAGACAGUAGGGAGCUUUGGCUGCUAUUUCUACUAGGUCUAUCUACCAUGUACAGGUCUGAACUUAAUUUUCAUUCACAUAGUUACAUUUCAAAAAUUUAAUAAUCUUUUCCAUAAAUCAACUAUCGUAAAAAUUUUAUACGAUGAGCAUGCACACACACAUCCAUUUCAUAUAUAUUCUUUCAAUUUCUGCUCUUUGCAAAUAAAAGUUUUACAGAUACAACUGCUUGUUUAUAAUUAAAUGAAUGUUUUAAUGAUUAGAUAGAGGUCCAAAAGGAUAGCUCUCACAAAAAGACUACAUUCAAAUUCAUUCUUCACAAUAUUUGAAGCUGUUUUCUGAUGAGUUGGGGGUGGGGGCCACGAAAUUUUCAUACGGCUGGAGGAUCCAAUCGAAACAGAGGACCCGAAAUAAUAAGGUUGAGAAGCGCUGUUAUAGAUUAGGCCUAACCGAAAACAAUCACAGCCACAUCAUCCAAACAGACUGGGUGAAACCAGGAUUAGCUGCUAGUAUAUAUAUAUAAAUCAAAGGAAAGCAAACAUCAUCAUAACAAAUAACCGAUGGGAAUGUUAGACAUGUUUCAGCCUUCUUGAAGGUUUGUCAAUAAUGUGUACCCAUUUAUUAUAUGCUUGAAUGAAAUUUGUGCCUAUAUUUCAAUUUUGCAGAUUAAAAAUCAUUGUCAUCUCAAUUUUCACCUCAUUACUUUACUUCACCUUUCUCUAAACUUUCAUCAUUAUUUUUCUACUCCUCCAGUUCUACUUCUCACCCCACUACGACAAGGUCAUUUAAAGCCCUCCUAACUAAUGAGAAAGUACUGGAAACAACAGCAACAACUAUGGUUGAGAGCGGGUUGCAAAAUCAAAGGUUCUGUAUAUUUUAAAUGGCUAAUUACACUAUGCUGCGAAUAGGUACGACUCAUCACUUUAAAACAUGAAAAAC